rnacentral:rRNA from 1 species
AACGUAGGUUCCGAGCGUUAUCCGGAUUUACUGGGCGUAAAGCGCGUUCAGGCGGUUUGGCAAGUCGGGCAUGAAAUCCUUCGGCUCAACCGGGGGAGGUUGUCCGAUACUGCUAAACUGGAGGGCAGUAGAGGGUGGUGGAAUUCCGGGUGUAGUGGUGAAAUGCGUAGAGAUCCGGAGGAACACCAGUGGCGAAAGCGGCCACCUGGACUGUACCUGACGCUGAAACGCGAAAGCUAGGGGAGCGAACGGG